rnacentral:rRNA from 1 species
GAUGAACGCUGGCGGCGUGCCUAAUACAUGCAAGUCGAGCGAACAGACGAGGAGCUUGCUCCUCUGACGUUAGCGGCGGACGGGUGAGUAACACGUGGAUAACCUACCUAUAAGACUGGGAUAACUUCGGGAAACCGGAGCUAAUACCGGAUAAUAUAUUGAACCGCAUGGUUCAAUAGUGAAAGACGGUUUUGCUGUCACUUAUAGAUGGAUCCUCGCCGCAUUAGCUAGUUGGUAAGGUAACGGCUUACCAAGGCAACGAUGCGUAGCCGACCUGAGAGGGUGAUCGGCCACACUGGAACUGAGACACGGUCCAGACUCCUACGGGAGGCAGCAGUAGGGAAUCUUCCGCAAUGGGCGAAAGCCUGACGGAGCAACGCCGCGUGAGUGAUGAAGGUCUUCGGAUCGUAAAACUCUGUUAUUAGGGAAGAACAAAUGUGUAAGUAAAUAUGCACGUCUUGACGGUACCUAAUCAGAAAGCCACGGCUAACUACGUG